AACAAUAUGAUGAUUUUAUACCGCCCCAGUCUGAAACUUGUGUUGAAGGUUUGAUCUGAAUUAAA
rnacentral:snoRNA from 1 species